rnacentral:piRNA from 1 species
UGAGAAAAUUGAAGGCCAGAAAAGUUC